GGUUGCGAUCAUACCAGCACUAAUGCAGCAGAUCCAAUCAGAACUUCGCAGUUAAGCGUGCUUGGGCGAGAGUAGUACUAGGAUGGGUGACCCCCUGGGAAGUCCCCGUGUUGCAACCC
rnacentral:rRNA from 1 species